rnacentral:rRNA from 1 species
AUUGAACGCUGGCGGCAGGCUUAACACAUGCAAGUUGAACGAGUGGCGGACGGGUGAGUAAUGCUUGGGAAUCUAGCUUAUGGAGGGGGAUAACUACGGGAAACUGUAGCUAAUACCGCGUACCAUAGGAUGAGCCCAAGUGGGAUUAGGUAGGUGGUGAGGUAAAGGCUCACCAAGCCGACGAUCACUAGCUGGUCAGGGAGGAUGACCAGCGACACUAGGACUGGUACACGGCCCGGAUUCCUGCGGGAGGGAUCAGUGGGGAAUCUUGCGCCAUGGGUGCAACAUGACGCUGCCUUGACGCUUGAAUGAAGAGAGACGUCGGGUUGUAAAUUUCUUUCGGUAGCAAGGCGUUCACUACAGAAGAAGCACCGGCUAACUCCGUGCCAGCGGCCGCGGUAAUUC